GCGGGCAUCGUAUAGUGGCUAUUAUGCAACCUUGCCAAGGUUGAGACGGCAGUUCGAUUCUGCUUGCCCGCUCCA
rnacentral:tRNA from 1 species